AAGAGAAGAUGGCUACAGUACUGCUUCAUUUCCUCCACUCGGGAGCGAAGCCAGACUUCAAAGUUCAAAGGCUUCCCUGAGAAAAGCUGAAGUCGCCUUUAAAGUGGAAAGCCUAGGUGAUUUAAAUGAACAAACCUUCAGGUGGCUCAGAGAAGUAGCUAAGCAACAAGUGAGGCCAGCACCGGGAAGCCCGGCUGCAGCCAGAAGCAGUGACCAGAGAGAGCAAAUGGGGUCUGAUGACGUCAUCUGUCUGAAAAGCCGCUUGUAGCUGCAGGUGUAGGAUAUUUCCUGCUACGUUGUAUUGUAUUUGCAGUGGAGCUCGGUGAUUGGGCAGUAGAAGAGGAUACCAGCAGUCCAGUUCAAUACCAAACACGAAUCAGCAGUGACAGCAUGAUCCAGCGGAAACAGCAAGGCUCUGUGGAAUGGACAGGAGUCAGCGGAAGUGGACAGAAUCACCAUACAUACCUCGAGAAGUUCUUGGUGCAUUUCUGUCUUCAGACUGAAGACCAGCAAAGCGUUGCAUGACACAGGGAUGCAGGAGCGUCCUUUCACUGUCUCUGGGUUCCAUUUAUAGUCUUUCGAAGCACCGCGUGUCCUCUCAAGUGUCUGUUUUCAGCAAAACAUCACAUGCUCUCUCAAAAGACGGCUUCCAGAAAAGCAUCACGUGACACAACUGAGUCGUUAAAGAAACCAGAAAUUUCUACUUCAUAUCCCCCUUUCUGCUUUUUUUUAAAAUGUCUUUUUCUCUAAUAUUAACAAUUUACAGAUAAUAGAUAUAAUUAUGAGAACCAUGAAAUUAGAACUUUACGUCACAGUUUAAAUAAACUGCAUAUAGCCGGGAGGUGGU